CGGCCGCGAUGCUCGCAGCAGCUCUCCUGCGCCGUCCCCGCGGGCUGGAGCGGUGGCACGGGGGCAGAACUGCCCGUGGCUCUGCGUUUAGCCCCCUUCUCCGGGCUGGGUUUCGUAAUGAAAGAGCACAGAGUGCUUCGAAAGCAACCGGGCAGCUGCUGAAGGAUGGCUCCAGCACUGCUGUGCCUUUUCCAGUGCUUUCCCAGGCUCCAGACAGAAAGCGAUGCAGGUUCGCCUGGUGGGAGAGGUGGAGAAACUACAGUGACAGCGUUGAGCGGCGUACCCGAGAGGCCGAGCUGCCGGCGAAGCGCUCGAGCCGCCCGCCUCGCUGGCAGACUUUCCCGGCCGAGCUACGUAAGCGUACGAGCCCCUCGGUUCUCCGCCAGCAGAGCGAUCGCGGUGUCGGAGAUGUUGUCUGAAGUCAUCGUUUGCACUGCAGUCUGGAGCCUCGCAGACAGGAAAAGGGCCGGUGGGAUGUCAGCAGCAGCACCGUUGGCCGGGCGCGCGGGCGAGAGGCUCCUCCGCAGCCCGCAGGAGGAGGAGGAAGGACGGCAGCGCCUUCGCGGGAGCAGGGAUGCAGCUUCUGCUGCUCUUCCUGGGUGUCCAGUCCCUGCCCAGCUCAGCGAGCCAAGUUUUCACGUCUAAAAUUACAGCCAUCAAAGCAGUCUUGCAGGUUCAGUGGGAACCUGAGCCCCAGGAUAACCAGCGUGGAAAGCACUGCAUGCUCAGGAGAGGCAUAAAACCGUAUAAACCCCUAUUCUGCAAACUCCAAAAGCUGCUGGAAGAAAAGGCUGCCUUGCCGGCAUUAACCCCGUGGGCAGCUCCCUGCCCGGCAUGCCGAGAGCAGAGCGCGCUGCGUCGGUACGAAACCAGGGCGAGAGGCUGAGCUCAGGCGGGCCAGAGAUUUUAUUGCUCCCAAACCAAGGAGCCUGCUCUGCGGUUUUCAUGAUGGAUCGCUGCCCUUUCGUCUCAUCGUGAUUUGGCUGAAACUCGAGACAGAUGCGUAUCAUCUCUAUGGGCCCGUGGCAUGCCUCAUCUCACUGCUUGACACAAGAACAUACAGCAAGUGCUUCAUGGACAAGAUACAUGUGCUUUGGCUGUAUAAAGUAGUAAUGUUCUUCCUGUAAGAGAAAAAUUUAAUUUUGUCCUGAAUUCCACUAUACCCAAACAGAUCUCCAUUUAUAGCCUGGAUAAUAAAUCAAAGCAACAUGAAGUCUCCUGCA
rnacentral:lncRNA from 1 species